UACGUAGGGUGCGAGCGUUAAUCGGAAUUACUGGGCGUAAAGCGUGCGCAGGCGGUUUUGUAAGACAGAUGUGAAAUCCCCGGGCUUAACCUGGGAACUGCGUUUGUGACUGCAAGGCUAGAGUACGGCAGAGGGGGGUGGAAUUCCUGGUGUAGCAGUGAAAUGCGUAGAGAUCAGGAGGAACACCGAUGGCGAAGGCAGCCCCCUGGGCCUGUACUGACGCUCAUGCACGAAAGCGUGGGGAGCAAAC
rnacentral:rRNA from 1 species